AGAACUUUUGUCCCCUCGGAGAAAUGAUCUGUCACUGUAUGACAUCCUCAGCAGCCAAACAAUGUAUCCCUCAGCCAAACAAUAUAAAGAGAUUUUAAGCCUGUUCAUACGCAGAUGUCCCUUCAUGCGGGAGAAAAUUGGUUCAGGACAUGAUGAUUUACGUGAGUCUCUAACAAGUUCAAAAAGGAAAGGCGACCCCUUAUUGGUGACUCAAUGGUGCAACAAAUGUGUCCAAAAUUUUCUGUGGCAGGAUCUGGAAAGAAGCACCAUACUCCGGGUCAACCAAGUCUUUGGAAACAACACAUAACUUAAGCAUACUUUUUAAAAAAUGAUCAUGUACACCUCAUCUUAGUGGUUACCUCUUACCAUAUUGUUGUGUCAUUUUUCAUGCAUCAUAGGCUCAGGAAGAUGGAGACUUUGGAGUGGAUGAAAGGACCAUUCAAGCUCAUAUCCAAAAUAUGUCUACAGAGAUGCUUAAAGUACACUUUGGUAACAAUUUUAGUUUAUGUUUGGGGUCAAACUGACCCCUAAAAGAUGUUAGUAAAUUUGAACAUAACAGGAGGGUUAAUGUGGAAACUUUGUGGUGUUCCCUCACUUUUAUCUGAUUCUAUUCCACUCCACUGUGCCCAUAUGCUGAUUGCUCUCAUUGGACCAUGCAUUAUUUUAUUGUUUGUAGAUAGUUAACUGCUUCAUCUGGUGCAGUGUAAGUCUACCUUGGAUUGAUGCUUUUAUCUUCUCUCUCUGCCAUGUCACCAUUGCUGGAGAUUACAUGAUGUGAUUAUGAUGCAUAAUUACAGCAUGAUGCGUCUGGCCUGAGUCCUAUCAUCAUGUUGCUGAUUCCACAGGACCUAUGCUCACUUUUGACUUGUUUUCCCCUCGGACCUA